ACCAGGGAUGAGUCCAGCAGACAUCUCUCCCCUCAAAAUUGCUCUGUCUGCCCAUCCCAGCUGCCAGGUCCCCAUCCCUCCCUUCUCCCCAUCAACUCUGGGCACGGCCAGCCUCAAACACGUCCCAAGUCCCCUACCUGCCUCCCUGCAGGGCCAUGCCUCCACGCUCAGACCAUCAUUUCAGAAUAAGAUGAUGUCUGCCUAAAAGCAAGCCUCUCAAGUUAGGUCAGAGUCACACACAGGGCAUUGCACGCACACACACACACACACACACAUACACACACACUUGUCCACAUGCACUUUGAGACCAGUGUCCUAGAACAGGGCCCUGCUCCCCUCAGACCAUCAUCUCAGACCAGAGCUGGGAUCCGGGACCAUGUGGCUGCAGGCCCAAGGAAAGGAAACAAAGAAUCCUGGCAGAUCCCUCACCCACUCAUGGGCUCACCUGGUCCACAGAAGAAUCUCUGCCAGGGAUAGGUGUAAACAGUCCCCAGGGCUUCCUCACAGAACAGGAGCAGUAAUAAAACACAGAGUAAUUGGAGAACAACACGGGCCGAAUCAGGUAAGGGCCUGGCACCAUGACACGAUGGCUGUACCCAAAGGCACCGCUACAUUCAUCAUCUCUAGGCCCCUCUGAGAAGCACCUCGGGGGUGCUCACCUCAGGGGGAACAGUCGGAACCAGCGGCCCAGAGCCCCUGCUCAGCCCUCAGCACCACCCGAGUGCGGACAAAGAAGGGACAGAAGCCCAGCUAGACCCAGCUUGCUUCCAGCUCCACUUCAUUCCCGAUCUCCCAUGGGGACACCCAACCUGGGAUGCACCCCUGGCCUCCUGCCUGCCUGGCUUGAUCAGCCCACCAUGUUCCUCUCCAUCCAAGGUGUGAGUGAAGUCCAGGCCAGAGUGGCCCAAGGCCUGGGCCUCCCUGAGGACAUCUCCACAAAAGCCUGGUCAACCCAGGCCAGCUAGGAUUCGGGCCCCAGGCCCUAUUUAUUUAGACUCUGGUGCUGUGGUGCAGAGUCACCGGGACCUGUCCCUGGAGUUGUUCUGGAAGAGAGGGACAUGGGCUGAGAGCCAGGGACGCUGCACACAUGGAGACCCAAGCAACUGUGCAUUAGCUCCAGGAGUGAGCUAGCCUGCGGGACAGUCGUCAGCUCGCUCCGGCAGCCCAUGGAAGUCUGUCUGCCUGGAGGAGGAAGCAUGACCCUCAAGCUGAGUUUGAAGGAGAAAGAGGCCAGAUAAAGAUGCCCGGCAUUGGGAAGUGGAGGGGCCAACCAGAGGCAGGUGUGUGGCAGGAAGAAGGACAAGGCGGGGCUGCAGAAAUGGAUGGGCACCGCCCCCCUUGGCCUGGCGAGUGAUGACAAGGGGGUAGGACUGCAUCUCAGAAGUCACAAGGAAUAGACAGAGGUGAAUAAGGAGGGGAGGGACUGCCCGGGAGAGGGUCCCUGGCAUUGGCAUUCUCCCUGAGAAGCAAGAGAAGAAAGAGGGGGGCCUCUAGGAGCUACUCACUCCCUUGUGGCCUGGCCCAUCUGCCUCUGAAGGCUGAGGAAACUUCUGAUCUCUGCCCACCCCCCACCCCCAAACACACACAGUUCAUCCAUGAAGGAUGUGCUGUAAGAGGGAUGAGGGACAGGGUGGUUCAUGCAAUCAUCCUCAGACUCUGUCCAAGAUCCAGGGUGAGACAGGCUCCCAGGCCCCAAGCGACAGAAACCCAGGGUGGCUGUGGGUCACAGGGCAUCAUAGCUAGACCCAUUCUUUCUGCUUGCUUCUGACUACCCGAUCCCCAGGAAUGCAAGUGGCCCUGGAAAUACUGUUUAGGUACAAACGCUUCUUCAGGAGAUCUCCUGAGGGACAGGCGAGGAGCAACCGAGCUGAGGAGAGACCAGGGCAUGGGGAGCAUGAAGAGACUCCUCCUGGCCACCAAGUGGCCCUGGUCCUGGGGAAGGGCAGGCUAGGCCGAAGCUGUCUUUCCCAUGGUCCAAAGGAAGAGCAACAGAUGGAAGGAAGAGAGAGCAGACGGAGGAAGCAGCAGAGGAGAGCCCUAGACCAGGGUCCCCAGGCCUAUACCCUGCUCUGCUACCGGCUCUGGGGCCUUAGUUUCCCCAUCUGUAAAAUGGACAUGCUGUCCCAGUGGCUCCUUUGACCCUGGUUUUCCCGCUCUUCUGUUCUCUGCUGCUGUCAAAGCCUCCCCUAGGGGAAGAGGGCUCUUGCCCCUUACAGAAGCCCCUUUCCUCCACCCACUCCCCUAUUCCGUGUGGCCAAGAUGAGAAGGAGCAGCUGGCUGGGUAUAAGGGGGUGACACCAGGGGGCCUAAGCUGGGGAAAUAGCCUGGAAAGGCUGGGUGGGGAGGAAAUUGGAAAUUUUUUAAACCUUGACAGCUGGAGCCCUGUGAGUCAGUGGGGCAGAUGGAAGUGAUUAGGCACUGGCGGGAGGUCCAGUGGGGCGGAGACAGGAACCCAUGCGGUGAGCUCGGAGCUCAGACCUAGGCGGGUGGCUUCCUCCCAGCCACACUGCCUCCAGGGACACAGGGCUGCUCCUCGUGUUUGGAGGCACUGAGCCAGGCUGUGCACCAGGCUCAUGUGCUGGGGGCUGAGGAGGCUAGAGAUGGGGACUCCAGGCAAGAGAGGGAACCCCAGAACAGGAGAGAGGCAUGGGACACUGGGUGUCCUCAUCUGGACAGCAAGCAUUAUGGAUCCAAUAACAGGGGGUCCCCUCGUAUCCACUCCCCACCCCCAGAAGGUCCUAGGACCUUCCCUAGUGAUAAUACAAACAUCCCCAAAAGUCCAAUCUGUAUUCCCUCCUUAGGAGGCUAUGCUUAUGUCCCGCAAAUGAUAACUCAUCUCUGAGUGAGAGGAAAGCAGGGAGUAAGCCAUUUCACAAAGAAUUCCACUUUCAACCAUUUAUUGAGCUCUUCCUGGGCCAGCGUGGAAUGUGAGGAAAGCCCUCUCAGUCCCUGCCCUUGAGAAGUGUCCAGUCAAGUGGGGAAGACUACUGCACACGGCUAUGGAGAAUCAGAGUGAGAAUAUCCCAGCGGAGCCAUGAGGAAGCAUGCAGGAUGCAGAGGCUGUGAGCUGGGGCUGUGGAGAGCUGGGUAUGGUCCUGGGGAGACACUGAGGAGGGGGGCGGUGAGAGAAGCCAGGAGGAGAAGGAGGGAUGUUGCACUUUGAUGAAUAAGGAGGUCCCUGGUCUCACUGGAAUAGUGGGCAGCAGUCAAGUCAGAGUAGAUGUAGGGGUGAGGACGAGGAGAGGAAGUAGCGGUGAGCCGAACCCAGCUGCAGGGGCAAGGGGUAACUGACAGGUGAGCCCUGAAGGGGAGGGCUGCGGAGGGUUGGAGACACAUAUGCAAAGCCUCUCUCAGGGCCCAGGCCUAGCUAGAGCCACAUUAGCCAUCCAUCCUCAGGCCCUCCCCACAGACCCGCCAGCCACUCCCCAGAUCACCACAACACUCAAGCAUGACAUGACUGUGGGGUACCAAACCAGCUGUGCCAGAGCAUUUCGUGGCUACAUUCCUCCCCAACCAUCCCAACCACCCUCUCAGUGUUCAGCAAACAUUCGCCAAUGGCCACUGUAUCCAAACCUGUGUCAGGCUCUGUGGCACGGAAAAAAAACAAGCAUGGUCCUGGCCAAGGAAGUGAGGCAGAUGGAGCCUCCUGGGUUCCAUGGUUGACAGUUGGAAGGAGGGGACCAUUCUACCUGGGAGGGGGGGAUGCUGUGGGAAGGAGGUAGCUCUGGAGGCAAGACUGGUAAAAGAAGCAGGAGUUUGCCAAGCAGGCCCAGAUGAAGAGCUGUCAUGGGCACAGAGAUGGGGUGUGUGUGCAGGGGGCCUCUUAGGGAAUUCAGAGCAGAUAUCCAGGACCAGUCCCUGGAGGCCAUGGGGCGGGUCAUUAAAAGAUUUUAAUCAGGGUGCAUCUAUAGUGUAGAAUAUUACUCUGGUGACUAGAUAAAGCCUGUUUAGAAGAGGGGACAGACAUGAGAAGGGCUUAGGAGAUAAAAUUUAUAGGAUUUGGUAACAGAAUGUAGGGGGUUGAAAGGGGAAGAAGGAGGCAUCUGGAUAGCAGGGAGGAAGGAGGCACUGUAGGUGGAAAGAGCUGAUCUGGUGCCAUCACCGAGCUUCUCCAAAAUCCAAUGGCUUUGCAGCAUCUGGGACAUCUCAGUGAUGAUGUCCAUGAGGGCUGUCAGCACACAACUGGCAAUGGAAGUCUUUAAUGAGGAUGAAGGGUCUUAAGCAGAAGGCCAAAGAGCUCACAGUGUUCUCAUGGCUAAGAUGGGGAGGCACUGGAGGCUGUAAGCAGGGAAAUGACACAAUCAGAUUUAAAAAUAUCAUUUCAGCAGUAGGGAGGAGGCCUGGGCAGAGAGAGAGACUGAAGGCAAAGAGACCUAGGAUGAGGAUGCAAUGUCUGCCUUGAGGCCAGGCCUCCAACAGAGGCCAAGGUCAGAGAAAGGGUCAUAGUUCAGACCCUCGAAAGCAACUAACCUAGCUUUCAAGGUCACAGUGGAUCUCGCUUUUUACAGAAGUAGGGUCUUGACAAGUUGGGUCAUAAAAGAUGCUACACUGAUACUUUAUGUUAAAUCCUAUUUUUUUUUAAAUAUUUUAUUUAUUUGACAGAGCACGCACAAGCAGGCGAAGCAGUAGGCAGAGGGAGAGGGAGAAGCAGACUCCCCGCUGAGCAGGGAACCUGACAUGGGGCUCAAACCCAGGAUCCCGGGAUCGUGACCUGAGCCAAAGGCAGACACUUAACUGACUGAGCCACUCAGGUGCCCCAAAAUCCCAUUUUAAAUGACUCGACCCAAAAACAAAAUCAAGAAAGCAAUUCCAUUUGCAAUAGCAUCAAAAAGAACAAAAUAUUUCAGAAUAAAUUUAACAAAUUUAUUUUGUUACACCAAAUCUUGUUACACCAAAAACUACACAACAUCAUGGGGAAAAAAAAAUGAAGAUCUAAAUAAGUGGAAAUAUGGCCAUGUUCGUGGAUUGUCUAAUUCAUGAAUAUUGUUUAAUAUACUACCAAAAAACAGAUUCAGUGUAAUCUCUAUCAAAAUCGCAAUGGUAUUUCUUACAAAAUGGAAAACUCAUCUUAAAUUCAUAUGAUAGUUCAUAUGAUAGUUGGGGGCCCCAAAUAGUCAAAAUAAUCUUGACAGAGAAGAACAAAAUCAGAAGGCUCACACUGCCUGAUUUUAACACUUACUACAAAGCUAUAGUGAUCAAGGCAGUGUAAUACUGGCAUAAGACAGAUAUAUAUAGAGAUAUAACUCAGUGGAAUAAAAUUGAGAAA